ACUCCUACGGGAGGCAGCAGUGGGGAAUAUUGCACAAUGGGGGAAACCCUGAUGCAGCCAUGCCGCGUGUGUGAAGAAGGCCUUCGGGUUGUAAAGCACUUUCAGUAGGGAGGAAGGUAGUGUAGUUAACACCUGCAUUAUUUGACGUUACCUACAGAAGAAGCACCGGCUAACUCCGUGCCAGCAGCCGCGGUAAUACGGAGGGUGCGAGCGUUAAUCGGAAUUACUGGGCGUAAAGCGCAUGCAGGCGGCCUGUUAAGUCAGAUGUGAAAGCCCGGGGCUUAACCUCGGAAUUGCAUUUGAAACUGGCAGGCUAGAGUCUUGUAGAGGGGGGUAGAAUUUCAGGUGUAGCGGUGAAAUGCGUAGAGAUCUGAAGGAAUACCAGUGGCGAAGGCGGCCCCCUGGACAAAGACUGACGCUCAGAUGCGAAAGCGUGGGGGAGCAAACAGGAUUAGAUACCCUGGUAGGAUAGCG
rnacentral:rRNA from 1 species